GACGAACGCUGGCGGCGUGCUUAACACAUGCAAGUCGAACGGAAAGGCCCUGCUUUUGUGGGGUGCUCGAGUGGCGAACGGGUGAGUAACACGUGAGUAACCUGCCCUUGACUUUGGGAUAACUUCAGGAAACUGGGGCUAAUACCGGAUAGGAGCUCCUGCUGCAUGGUGGGGGUUGGAAAGUUUCGGCGGUUGGGGAUGGACUCGCGGCUUAUCAGCUUGUUGGUGGGGUAGUGGCUUACCAAGGCUUUGACGGGUAGCCGGCCUGAGAGGGUGACCGGCACCUUGGCGCCUGAGGGCGGCCCCAGCGGCGUACGGGGGGCAGUGGGGGGAAGUAUGCCCCAGGGGGCGGGAGCCGGUGGCGGCAGCCCCGGGGGCGGAAUGCCGGCUUGCGGUUAAAAACCCGCUUCCGCUUAAGACGACGCGGGAGUGACGGUAAGGAAUAAAGAAGCACCGGCUAACUUCGUG
rnacentral:rRNA from 1 species